rnacentral:rRNA from 1 species
GACAGAGGGUGCAAACGUUGUUCGGAAUUACUGGGCGUAAAGCGCGUGUAGGCGGUUAUGCAAGUCGGGUGUGAAAGCCCGGAGCUCAACUCCGGAAGUGCAUUCGAUACUGCGUAGCUAGAGUACUGGAGAGGAUGGUGGAACUCUCGGUGUAGAGGUGAAAUUCGUAGAUAUCGAGAAGAACACCGGUGGCGAAGGCGGCCAUCUGGACCAUUACUGACGCUGAGGUGCGAAAGCUAGGGGAGCGAACAGG